rnacentral:rRNA from 1 species
UAAAUAGCCAGCCUGACAUUUGUUGGGCGCCGGCUUCUUAGAGGGACUUUUGGCUCAAGCCAAUGGAAGUACGAGGCAAUAACAGGUCUGUGAUGCCCUUAGAUGCUCUGG